UACACUCCUGCGGAGGCAGCAGUGGGGAAUAUUGGACAAUGGGCGCAAGCCUGAUCCAGCCAUGCCGCGUGAGUGAUGAAGGCCCUAGGGUUGUAAAGCUCUUUCACCGGUGAAGAUAAUGACGGUAACCGGAGAAGAAGCCCCGGCUAACUUCGUGCCAGCAGCCGCGGUAAUACGAAGGGGGCUAGCGUUGUUCGGAUUUACUGGGCGUAAAGCGCACGUAGGCGGACUAUUAAGUCAGGGGUGAAAUCCCGGGGCUCAACCCCGGAACUGCCUUUGAUACUGGUAGUCUUGAGUUCGAGAGAGGUGAGUGGAAUUCCGAGUGUAGAGGUGAAAUUCGUAGAUAUUCGGAGGAACACCAGUGGCGAAGGCGGCUCACUGGCUCGAUACUGACGCUGAGGUGCGAAAGCGUGGGGAGCAAACAGGAUUAGAAACCCCAGUAGUCCCAUG
rnacentral:rRNA from 1 species